ACCAUGCUGCAGUGUACCUCGCCCCUCUUUCGUGUGCCCAGAUAAGGGCUCAAGAGAAAGGGCAACAGCAGCUCCUAGAGCCCCUGCGCAGGCUGUCUCUGGGCUCUUCUUCCCUCUCUCCCAGCUGGGGGCACAAGCCCUGGAAGCGGACAGACAAGAUAACAGGAACGGCAUGGUGUUCAUAUAUCAUGUCGAAUUUCUUUAUCAUCCCAACUGAUGUCUUCACACGCCUCCCAUCUCAUGAAUCUUCUCCAAGUCUAUGUCUACAGCAUUAUCCCCCAGGAUGGCUUCCAGUUGAAGAGAACGGGACAACCUGGAAGGAGCAGCAGGAAACUGGCACAGCCACCACAGUUCAGUGCUUCUUGCGGUUGACAGUGUUGGGCUCUCAGGGGAAUCUGGAGAAAGGUGGCUCCGUGUAAGUUGUAAAUAUGGUGACUUCUUUCCAAGCUAAAAGUCAGACUACAGAUCUGAAUGAAAAUAUUGGGCCAUUUCCAUGAGGAGCAGUCUGGGACUAAUUUGAAUGCUAAAACUGGAGACCCUGAGGACUCCUAGAUGGUCCUGGGCAGAGAUGAAAACUCUGUGGCCAGAGGGUUGCAGGACCAUCUAGAGCGUGGGGUCAUCACUGAGGUAUCUCCUCAGAGACCAAGGACGCAGACCCACUGCUAUCAGGACCAUGAGAGCUGACGGCCACAGGAUUUGUGCACAGGCAGAGAAAAAAGAAAUUGAGUGUGGGGCUCUCGGCUCCUGUUGUACCUUCCUCACUGGUGAAGCCGGAGCAGGUCCCUCCAUUUCUGAGCUAUGAACCACCAUGAAGCAUUGGCAUGAGGGUUAGAAAGCAGAGAGUCUCCAGGCUCUCAGGACAAGGAGGGCAAUUUAUCACCCCUCUCCCCACACUGGGCAUGAGGUACCUCUCCCGCCAGGUAGCACCACUGCUAGGUAGUACGUAGAAGAAUUAUCUGUAGACAUUAAAAUAUUCACUUUACUUAAUUGAAUCAGAAUAAGCUCUAGGAUGGGAACGUGCCUGGGAGCUGUGGCUUAUGCCGUAUAUUAGAAUCACUAGAGAGCUUUCAUAAAACAAAUCCCAGUGGCUCCCCUCCUUCCAGGAUUCUGAUUCAAGCAAUGUGGGUGACUAGAAUGUGAAUGACCACCCCAUUCCCACUGAUGUCCACCCAAGGAGGGCCCACCCACGCGGGCCCCCUGGGUUAGGGUGCUGGAGCUUGCUUGGUCCCUCUGCCCCACAGACAUCUAGGCCUGGAAGUCCUGCCUUGAAGGUCAGGUGGCUUGGCCACUCGUCACCUGACAUCCCAUCCUCCCUUUGAGAAAAAUAAGGAUCUGACAGAUUCUAUGGGGAGUGCACAGUUCCCCAAGAUCGGAGCCCCCACUUGGUCAGGAGAUGAUUUAUGUCCAUUACAACAAAGAGAAGGGAAUGAAUAAUGAAGUGGUUUUCAGGGUCUUUACAUUUUGCGGUAAAUCAUGAGACUUUUCACGCUUGGUAAUUUACAAUAAAUCUGUCAGAAAAUUAGACAAAACCAAACUCCCAGAGCUCCAAAUGAAAAAGAAGAAAUAGUAAUUGAAUGUCAUUGUUGUCAGUUGCCUCAAGUACAAAAGAAGGAGGCAGGUCACCUUGUCCCCAGGCAAGCAGUGACCGGGCAGUGUCCCAGGAAC